AACCCGUUUGCCGAACUGUCACCGGAUGGUGUGCGUUCCCUCGCGGGAUAGGCGACGGGUUUCUG
rnacentral:ncRNA from 1 species